AUUUUAACAGCAAAAUAAGAAAAUCGUGUGUUAAAUUUUUGAUGUAGAAAAUGGAUAUUACAUAGUAAAAGUUUCAUCAGUACAGUUAAUAAUUUACAACGACCAAAUUGGACUUCUACACAAAAAUCUGGUAGUCGACGACCGGCCAGGCGAAGCUUAGGCAUUGAAAUGGCGGAAAACAUAACUGAAAAGGACAAUUUUCUUCGAUUCGUAGCCUUCUUUGUUGACAUAGGAACGGAAACGGUUUUAGAAGUGUUUAAUUACUGCCAGCGAAAAGACCCUCUUAUCAUUAUAUUUCCUAAUUGUUCUAAGACAGUUGCCAAACAAUUACAGAAAGUGUUACAAAAAUCCCAGUUUUAUAUUGUCAAAUCUGCUCAAAAUGCCGACAAUUUUGACUUAAGUAUCUUGAUAACACUUGUGAGCUCCUUGUUUUCUCAUAUUCUUCCAAUGCCUGUGAAUGGAUGGGGCAAGACACCAGCAGCAACAGACAAUUCCAUAUCUGCUGAUCUACUACGUCUUCGAUCGAUUCGGAACAAAAUUGUUGCACAUCGCAACAAGACUUGUUUAUCAAGUGUUGAAUUUGAGAAAUUUUGGAAAAAGGUAGAAGACACUUUGGUGAGAAUAUAUCAACACAUUGAUCCUGGUAACGAAGACGUACUAAAAAGUCUUGCAGAAAAGAUUGAAAAAUACAGACACAAGACUAUAGAGGCCAGUUAUGCAGAGAAGUGCUUUGUAGAUUUGAAAA